UACAGGAAAGCAGAAUAAUGUGCAAAACCAAGAUGAAACAGAUGUGUCAUUACGAUUCAGACAGAAAUGUAAAUCAGCUGAAGGCAUCAGAACAAAAUGCCUUAACUGCCUGUCUUGUCGCUGCAGGGAUGGAUGUGGUUACAGCAGACAGAGGAAAAUCCAUUGAGACGUGUGCUUAUCUAUCAAUUGUACCAGCUGUUUCUGGUAUGCAGCAACUGACUGACCACAGUAAGGAAACAUGGAUGUAAUCAGUUAGCAAACCGCUCCUUUCUCAGCAAAGAUGAUAAGGAUUGUUGGCAAACCCACAGAGAGUUACGGGAAUAGAGGAAUUGGUGCGCUGAAGUCACUUCCUAUCACCCGGGAGUCCCUGGGCUCAGAGCAUUGUUUGCUUUCCUAGUAUGGGUCUCGGUGUUUGUCUGCACUAGUUCAGAUCUAUAAGAGCACUCACCCUGUCCCGGCACACAGAAGCCCACUCAGAGAGAUUGCCAACGCAGUUCUGUCUACCUCUGUGGGAAGGAUUCAGGCUGCCUGUGAGCAGAGAGACUGAUUCUUUACUACAUCUUUACACCGGCAAAACACCUUUCUGCAGAGGUAUUUUCAAAACCAGGCAUGACUUAAUCAAUUCUGGGAAGAGGCAUAUGCCAACAGAAACACUCUGUUGCCAACACAAACUGUGCUGCCACUAGAGGAGUAUCGGCAAUCCCACUCUUGUCAGCGUGGGGCCUCCACUUCACUGAUUAGGUGCUAUAUGGGUGGACAGUGCAGGAGGUUCCCAGCCAGUGAGGUCAGUGCUGAGGUGAGCCCCUUCUCCCUCAUCUCAAGAGGAAGUGGUGGCUAUUUCAGCUGCACCUGCAUCAACAGAGAAUUUACAGAAACUGGAGGUGAGCUCCUGAAUGCUCAGCUGGUUACUGUUGCAGUCUGUAGAUUGGAAAAUGGUCUGCUGCAUUGUACGUGGUCAGCACAGAUUUGAUGAUACUUUGGCAGUAUCUGGUGUCUUCUCUGAGGUCUUGACAGCCAACUCAAAGAGGGCUUCUGCUGCAGCCCUGCGUGCAACUAACUGCAGCCUAGCACUGAGGUUAGUAGAAUGCCACUAGAUCAAAGCUUCCUUACUGGGAAGGCUGGAGAGCCUUGACAAGGAUGAGGCAGAUCCGGUGCCAAAAAGCAUUGUGUUGCCUUGAUGUCAGCAUUUCAGGUCUAAAAAUGUGACUUGUAAAAGCGGGGGAAGCAAAAGGUUGAAUGCUACCUGCACUGCAUCCUGUUUAGCCAGACUUUGAGGAUAUAGAAAUUAAAUGUCCACAGAAGGAAAAAAAGACUUCUACUUUUCCUAGAUUUAUUGGGUGGGUUGUGUAUGCGAAAUUGAGCUCUAAUACAAAUCCCCAGUAGACAGUAUUUUAGACAGAAUGGCUUUGUUCUGAAUGUGUUUGUAAAUAUGUCUAUAUUUUUAAGACCUACCACUGUAAGAGACCCAAGAUGAUUUGUGAUUUCUGCAAUCUCAUCAAAGAGAGCAAGUGAGUGAUUCCAUGCGGUGGAGACAUACAGCCCAUGACUCAUAGCCCUGAGUCACAGCAUUGGGACACUUCAGCAUUCAGAAACACUAGUAGUGACAGAAAUCAGGAUGAUGAGCAAGCAGCUGUUACUCAUUCUCAGCUGGACACCAUAAGCAUGUUUGUACCAGUCA